AAUGUCGGCCAGCCUCUCCGCUU
rnacentral:miRNA from 1 species